UGCGUAGGCGGCUGAUAAAGUCCGAGGUGAAAGGCUACGGCUUAACCGUAGUAAGCCUUGGAAACUUAUCAGCUUGAGUACAGGAGAGGAAAGUGGAAUUCCUAGUGUAGCGGUGAAAUGCGUAGAUAUUAGGAGGAACACCAGUGGCGAAGGCGACUUUCUGGACUGUUACUGACGCUGAGGCACGAAAGCGUGGGGAGCGAACA
rnacentral:rRNA from 1 species